rnacentral:rRNA from 1 species
CGUAGGUGGCAAGCGUUGUCCGGAUUUAUUGGGUUUAAAGGGUGCGUAGGCGGCCCUGUAAGUCAGUGGUGAAAUAUCUCAGUUUAACUGAGAGGGUGCCAUUGAUACUGCGGGGCUUGAGUACAGAUGAGGUAGGCGGAAUUGACGGUGUAGCGGUGAAAUGCAUAGAUAUCGUCAAGAACUCCGAUAGCGAAGGCAGCUUACUAAGCUGUAACUGACGCUGAGGCACGAAAGUGUGGGGAUCAAACAGGAUUAGAUACCCUGGUAGUCCACACUGUAAACGUUGAUGACUCGAUGUUGGCGAUACACAGCCAGCGUCCAAGAGCAAUCGUUAAGUCAUCCACCUGGGGAGUACGCCGGCAACGGUG